UCCCAGUAAUGCAUCACAGUGAAGAAGAGCAGGGUUGGACAGCGCACAGCAUAGCACCCUGCGGCUGUGCAGCAGCAGACUGUUUAAACUAAGUCCCCGCUUGUAUCGGAGAUUCCUGUUCAGGGCUUCAGGCUGCUCUUUGCCACUGGGGAUCUGACGUCACAAAGUAGGAGCCACGCUGCAGUUCUAGGGCCGGGACCAGGGCUCUUUCUCCAAACAAAGUAAAGAUUUCUCUGUGUUGCAAACCAAGGUG